CGGACGGGUGAGUAACGCGUGGAAAACCUGCCGUAUACUGGGGGAUAACACUUAGAAAUAGGUGCUAAUACCGCAUAAGCGCACAGCUUCGCAUGAAGCGGUGUGAAAAACUCUGGUGGUAUACGAUGGUUCCGCGUCUGAUUAGCUAGUUGGUGGGGUAAUGGCCUACCAAGGCAACGAUCAGUAGCCGGCCUGAGAGGGUGAACGGCCACAUUGGGACUGAGAUACGGCCCAGACUCCUACGGGAGGCAGCAG
rnacentral:rRNA from 1 species